rnacentral:rRNA from 1 species
AAACCCGGUGAUCUAGCCAUGGGCAGGUUGAAGGUUGGGUAACACUAACUGGAGGACCGAACCGACUAAUGUUGAAAAAUUAGCGGAUGACUUGUGGCUGGGGGUGAAAGGCCAAUCAAACCGGGAGAUAGCUGGUUCUCCCCGAAAGCUAUUUAGGUAGCGCCUCGUGAACUCAUCUUCGGGGGUAGAGCACUGUUUCGGCUAGGGGGCCAUCCCGGCUUACCAAACCGAUGCAAACUCCGAAUACCGAAGAAUGUUAUCACGGGAGACACACGGCGGGUGCUAACGUCCGUCGUGAAGAGGGAAACAACCCAGACCGCCAGCUAAGGUCCCAAAGUCAUGGUUAAGUGGGAAACGAUGUGGGAAGGCACAGACAGCCAGGAUGUUGGCUUAGAAGCAGCCAUCAUUUAAAGAAAGCGUAAUAGCUCACUGGUCGAGUCGGCCUGCGCGGAAGAUGUAACGGGGCUAAACCAUGCACCGAAGCUGCGGCAGCGACGCUUA